rnacentral:miRNA from 12 species
UCUUCCUCUUCCUCUUCCUCUUCCUCUUCCUCUUCCUCUUCCUCUUCCUCUUCCUCUUCCUCUUCCUUUCAUUUUAUCUCAGAAGAGCUUAAAGGAAAGUUCCAUAUUGAGUCACUUUAACUUAAAGGUGUGAUAGCAUGAUUAAUAAUUAAUUGCUUUUAGGAUUGGCUAUUUAGAGGAAAUGUUUCUUU